AUUGAACGCUGGCGGCAUGCCUUACACAUGCAAGUCGAACGGCAGCACGGGAGCAAUCCUGGUGGCGAGUGGCGAACGGGUGAGUAAAGUAUCGGAACGUGCCCAGUCGUGGGGGAUAGCGUAGCGAAAGUUACGCUAAUACCGCAUACGAUCUAUGGAUGAAAGCGGGGGAUCGGAAGACCUCGCGCGAUUGGAGCGGCCGAUAUCAGAUUAGGUAGUUGGUGGGGUAAAGGCUCACCAAGCCGACGAUCUGUAGCUGGUCUGAGAGGACGACCAGCCACACUGGGACUGAGACACGGCCCAGACUCCUACGGGAGGCAGCAGUGGGGAAUUUUGGACAAUGGGCGAAAGCCUGAUCCAGCCAUGCCGCGUGCAGGAUGAAGGCCUUCGGGUUGUAAACUGCUUUUGUACGGAACGAAAAGGUUUGGGCUAAUAAGCUGAGCUCAUGACGGUACCGUAAGAAUAAGCACCGGCUAACUACGUGCCAGCCGCCGCAGUAA
rnacentral:rRNA from 1 species